rnacentral:rRNA from 1 species
CACGUAGGCGGCGGCGUAAGUCGGAUGUGAAAUCCCUCGGCCUAACCGAGGAACUGCGUCCGAUACUGCGUUGCUUGAGGACCAAAGGGGUGCAUGGAAUUCCCGGUGGAGCGGUGAAAUGCGUUGAUAUCGGGAGGAACGCCGGCGGCGAAAGCGGUGCACUGGUUGGUUUCUGACGCUGAGGUGCGAAAGCCAGGGGAGCAAACG